AUAGUUCCUCUCUGCAACACAAGUCCUACAGCAAUACUUCCUCUCCACAACACAAGUCCUACAGCAAUACUUCCUCUCUACAACACAAGUCCUACAGCAAUACUUCCUCUCUGCAACACAAGUCCUACAGCAAUACUUCCUCUCCACAACACAAGUCCUAUAGCAAUACUUCCUCUCCACAACACAAGUCCUAUAGCAAUACUUCCUCUCCACAACACAAGUCCUACAGCAAUACUUCCUCUCCACAACACAAGUCCUAUAGCAAUACUUCCUCUCCACAACACAAGUCCUAUAGCAAUACUUCCUCUCCACAACACAAGUCCUAUAGCAAUACUUCCUCUCCACAACACAAGUCCUACAGCAAUACUUCCUCUCCACAACACAAGUCCUAUAGCAAUACUUCCUCUCCACAACACAAGUCCAACAGCAAUACUUCCUCUCCACAACACAAGUCCUACAGCAAUACUUCCUCUCCACAACACAAGUCCUACAACAAUAUAAGGAUCGUAAUGUUACGUUUACGUAAAGACGAGAAAUAAGCAAACAGUGAGUGCUGGGCUGACGUAACCUUGCCUCAACGUACAGAGAUCAAAGUGUGAAUUGAAGUUACUUAUACAAUCAUCUCGUAAGUAAGGUUGACAAAUUAUAUUCCAUCAGUUUAAAUGACGUAAUCUUCCCUAUACAUACAGAUCAAGGUAACAUAUGAAAUGAAAUGAGGUUACUUAUACAAACAUCUCGUAGGUAAGGUUGGCGUAACUUAUAUUUUGCUAGUUUAAAUGACAUAAUCUUCUCUAUACGUACAGGUCAAAGUAACAUACGACAUACGAGUUAAUUGAGGUUACUCAUAAAAACAUCUCAAAGGUAAGGUUGGCGUAACUUAUAUUUUGCUAGUUUAAAGGAUGUAAUCUUCCCCAUACAUACAGAGAUCACUGUAACAUACAACAUAUGAAAUGAAUUGAGGUUACUUAUACAAACAUACCAGUGAAUUGAGGUUACUUAUACAAACAUACCAGUGAAUUGAGGUUACUUAUACAAACAUACCAGUGAAUUGAGGUUACUUAUACAAACAUACCAGUGAAUUGAGGUUACUUAUACAAACAUACCAGUGAAUUGAGGUUACUUAUACAAACAUACCAGUGAAUUGAGGUUACUUAUACAAACAUACCAGUGAAUUGAGGUUACUUAUACAAACAUACCAGUGAAUUGAGGUUACUUAUACAAACAUACCAGUGAAUUGAGGUUACUUAUACAAACAUACCAGUGAAUUGAGGUUACUUAUACAAACAUACCAGUGAAUUGAGGUUACUUAUACAAACAUACCAGUGAAUUGAGGUUACUUAAACAAACAUACCAGUGAAUUGAGGUUACUUAUACAAACAUACCAGUGAAUUGAGGUUACUUAAACAAACAUACCAGUGAAUUGAGGUUACUUAAACAAACAUACCAGUGAAUUGAGGUUACUUAUACAAACAUACCAGUGAAUUGAGGUUACUUAUACAAACAUACCAGUGAAUUGAGGUUACUUAUACAAACAUACCAGUGAAUUGAGGUUACUUAUACAAACAUACCAGUGAAUUGAGGUUACUUAUACAAACAUACCAGUGAAUUGAGGUUACUUAUACAAACAUACCAGUGAAUUGAGGUUACUUAUACAAACAUGCCAGUGAAUUGAGGUUACUUAUACAAACACCUCGCAGGUUAAGGUUGACAUAACUUAUAUAUCGUUAGUUUAAGAGACGUAAUCUUGCCUAUACGUACAGAGAUCAAAAUAACAUAUCUCGAGGGUAGGAUUCACGUAACUUGUAUUUCAUUAGUUUAAGGUUACGUAUACUUACAAUAACAUCGUAAAGAGGGAAAGAAUAAAGGAAAGAAAGAAGGUGUGUUGAAAGGUCAUCUUAUCGCCUACAAACACCAAGAGACAAACAUUGGGGUGAGGGAGGGAGGGAAGGGUAGCAAACACACACACACACACACACACACACACACACACACACACACACACACACACACACAAAUGAAA